rnacentral:rRNA from 1 species
GGCUCAGACGAAACGCGGGCGGCGUGGCUAAAACAUGCAAGUCGUACGAGAAAGGCGGGGCAACUCGCCGAGUAAAGUGGCGGAAGGGUGAGGAAUAUAUGGGUAACGUACCUUUAGCACGAGGAUAGUCGCGGGAAACUGCGAGUAAUACUCGAUGAGACCACAGCAGCGUAGGCUGCAGCGGUCAAAGGACGGGGAUCCGCAAGGACCUGUCGGCUUUAGAGCGGCCCAUAUCCUAUCAGCUAGUUGGUGAGGUAACGGCCCACCAAGGCUUCGACGGGUACCGGGACUGAGAGGUUGACCCGGCACAUUGGCACUGAGACACUGGCCAGACUCCUACGGGAGGCUGCAGUAACGAAUCUUCCGCAAUGGACGAAAGUCUGACGGAGCGACGCCGCGUAUGGGAAGAAGUCCUUCGGGAUGUAAACCAUUGUCAGGGACUACCAAGCAACAGCGCCUAACAUGCGCUGAAGUUGAGGAGUCCCAGAGGAAGCCACGGCUAACUCUGUGCCAGCAGCCGCGGUAAGACAGAGGUGGCAAGCGUUGUUCGGAAUCAUUGGGCUUAAAGGGCGCGUAGGCGGCCCUGUAAGUGUCUUGUGAAAUCCCUCGGCUCAACCGAGGAAUCGCUGGGCAUACUGCAGGGCUUGAGGCAGGAAUGGGCGAGUGGAACUCUUGGUGGAGCGGUGGAAUGCGUAGAUAUCAAGAGGAACGCCGGUGGUGAAGACGACUCGCUGGGCCUGUCCUGACGCUGAGGCGCGAAAGCCAGGGGAGCAAACGGGAUUAGAUACCCCGGUAGUCCUGGCCCUAAACGAUGUCAACUAGAUCGGAGUCACUCUGGCGUGCCUCUGGUCGCAAUGAAAACGUUAAGUUGACCGCCUGGGGAGUACCGUCGCAAGGCUAAAACUCAAAG